UACGGGGGUUGCGAGCGUUGUCCGGAAUUACUGGGCGUAAAGGGUCUGUAGGCGGAUUAUUAAGUCGGAUGUGAAAUCCCCGGGCUCAACCUGGGAACUGCAUGUCGAACUGCCAGGCUAGAGUAUGGGAGAGGAUGGUAGAAUUCCAGGUGUAGCGGUGAAAUGCGUAGAGAUCUGGAGGAAUACCGAUGGCGAAGGCAGCCAUCUGGCCCUAUACUGACGCUGAGACGCGAGAGCGUGGGUAGCAAACAGG
rnacentral:rRNA from 1 species